rnacentral:rRNA from 1 species
AUUGAACGCUGGCGGCAUGCCUUACACAUGCAAGUCGAACGGUAACAGGGAGCUUGCUCCGCUGACGAGUGGCGAACGGGUGAGUAAUGUAUCGGAACGUACCAUUCAGUGGGGGAUAACGUAGCGAAAGUUACGCUAAUACCGCAUAUUCUGUGCGCAGGAAAGCAGGGGAUCGCAAGACCUUGCGCUGAUUGAGCGGCCGAUAUCAGAUUAGCUAGUUGGUGAGGUAAGAGCUCACCAAGGCGACGAUCUGUAGCGGGUCUGAGAGGAUGAUCCGCCACACUGGAACUGAGACACGGUCCAGACUCCUAUGGGAGGCAGCAGUGGGGAAUUUUGGACAAUGGGGGCGAACCCUGAUCCAGCCAUGCCGCGUGCAGGAUGAAGGCC